rnacentral:rRNA from 1 species
UAGUCCACGCCGUAAACGAUGAGAACUAGAUGUCGGGAGGAUCUGCCUCUCGGUGUCGCAGUUAACGCAUUAAGUUCUCCGCCUGGGGAGUACGCCGGCAACGGUAAAACUCAAAGGAAUUGACGGGGACCCGCACAAGCGGUGGAGCAUGUGGUUUAAUUCGAUGCAACGCGAAGAACCUUACCUGCCCUUGACAUCCUGUGAACUUUCUAGAGAUAGAUUGGUGCCUUCGGGAGCACAGUGACAGGUGCUGCAUGGCUGUCGUCAGCUCGUGUCGUGAGAUGUUGGGUUAAGUCCCGCAACGAGCGCAACCCUUGUCCUUAGUUGCCAGCAUUUCGGAUGGGAACUCUAAGGAGACCGCCGGUGACAAACCGGGAGGAAGGGUGGGGACGACGUCAAGUCAUCAUGGCCCUUAUGGGGCAGGGGCUACACACGUGCUACAAUGGCCGGUACAGA